rnacentral:lncRNA from 1 species
CGGGGUCCAACCUGUAAUCUUAGUUGAAAGGGUACCAGUAUUGUGCCACAAGUACUAACUCUGGCUGUGUGAAUUCAUUUAUCUGAUAUCUUGAAGGACCACGGUAUUAGGAUAAAACUGACGGGUGACCCCUUAGAAGAAGUCAAGCCUAAACUGAUGGGUGACUUCUCUGAAAAAGUCAAUCUUAAACUGAUAGGUGACUCCUUAUAUCCUAU